UGGGGGAUAUUGCACAAUGGGCGAAAGCCUGAUGCAGCGACGCCGCGUGGGGGAUGAAGGCCUUCGGGUUGUAAACUUCUUUUGCUCUGAACAAGGCGCACCAUGGGGUGUGUUGAGUGUAGGGGUUGAUUAGCGCCGGCUAACUACGUGCCAGCAGCCGCGGUAAUACGUAGGGCGCGAGCGUUGUCCGGAAUUAUUGGGCGUAAAGGGCUUGUAGGUGGCUGGUUGCGUCUGUCGUGAAAGCUCAUGGCUUAACUGUGGGUUUGCGGUGGGUACGGGCUGGCCUGAGUGCAGUAGGGGAGGCUGGAAUUCCUGGUGUAGCGGUGGAAUGCGCAGAUAUCAGGAGGAAUACCGGUGGCGAAGGCGGGUCUCUGGGCUGUUACUGACACUGAGGAGCGAAAGCAUGGGGAGCGAACAGG
rnacentral:rRNA from 1 species